rnacentral:rRNA from 1 species
AUGGCGGCCUACUACAACGGCAGUAGGCCCAUGUCCUACUCCACCACCGAGGAGUCCUUCGACGGCGGCAGGACCGUAUACUCCACCACCACCGAGGAGUGCUACGACGGUGGCAAGCUCGGCCAUGGUACCGGCUACGGCCACGGUCAGAGCCAUGGCAAUGGCGGGACCAACAUGUACUCCAACAACACUGGCAUCGAGUCAAGCAUGUACGGGCAUGGCGGCGGCGGCGGUGGCACGACCGUGUACACCACCACCGCCGACGAGUGCUUCGACUCCGGCAGGCCCGGACAUGGGUACGGCCAGGGCUACGGGCAGAACGACGGUAGGGCCAUGUCGUACACCACCACCACCACCACCGAGUCCUUCGGCGGAGGCGAGCAGGGGCAGGGGUACUACAAGAAGGAGGUGACGCAACACAAAAACAGGGAGCGCAUCGGCGAGGCCGGCGCCCUCGCCGCCGGUGGCUUUGCCCUCUAUGAGGGGUAUGAGGCGAAGAAGGACCCGGCGCACGCGCGGAAGCACCAGAUCGAGGCCGGCAUUGCAGGGGCGGCGGCACUCGGCGCCGUGGGUUACGCCUACCACGAGCAUCGCGAGCAGCAGCAGCCCAGCUACGGCGGAAAGCAGGUGUACAGGAUGCCCGUCCACAACAGCUACUGCAACUAA